CCUGACCCUCCUGGGGUAGGCCAGGUAGCUGCAGGUGGCCAAGGUCCCAAGCACUGGGUGAACUUUCAUCUCUGGAGCACAGGGUCUCAAAGGCCACCCUGCAAGGCAGAGCAAGUCGGAGGAGAAGCAGAGUACAGCUCCACCUCCAACAGGACCCGACUGGACCUAUCUGUGCCUCAGUUUCCUCCUCUGUGAGGAGGGAUGGUCACACAGCACCCACUGGAGAGGAUUUUCCCAUGCAAAGCACCUAAACAGAGCCCGGAACCUGUGCACACCAGGAAUUGAAAGCAAGGCCGUGAACAGCGAUUCCCACAUGCGUGUCAUAGCAAAACCGCUCACAGUGGCCAAAAGGUGUCAGCGGCCCAAGCGUCUAUGGGGGCAAGGCUGGUGCAGCGUGUCCACGCGUGCAGGGAAACGCAGUGCAGACGUAAGGGGAAAGACAUUCCGACUCUGGCUGCAACGAGAAAGG
rnacentral:lncRNA from 1 species